AGAGUUUUGUAUUUCAUCAAGAAGGUGCUGAUUCACAAAGAUUUUAAAUUUAAGAAAAUCUGAGCAUCAUUCCAAAUAACUGUUAACAUGUUUGUCAACUAAACAUGUUUUGUUAACGUAAUAAACUUUAUAAAAAUAUUUUUUAUUUUUUAUUAAUAAUCAAGUAUAAAGAACAAUGCAUAGUGUGAAAAUGCGGAUUAUAAAAAAGUAUAUUAAAGAAAAGGACUACAUUUCCCAGAAUGCACCUGCACCCACUCAUCUGACUGCCCCCACCCUUCAGGUGCGACUGCUCAACCUAUGGGCUUGACGGAAAAUUCAAAUCGCGAACCGUUACUGCCUGGACUACUCCGUCUCUUGUUUGUUUGUUUGCUCAUUAACAGUAAGAGGUCAUGUACACUGUGGUCAACUUUGUGGACGAUGAAGAGGUUUCUGGGUAAAGAUGAUAGAAAUAUAAUGAAGUAACAGUGAAACCUAAAACAUCAGACUAAUCCAGACACUGAAGAAAUUGAUGUCACUGCAAUCUGGCCAAAAUGAUACAACUAUAUUGAAGUAGCCUACUGUAAUGAAGCUGCAGAACAACACACAGACUCUUGAGGACAUCAACACAGAAAAUGAAGGCUCCAAAGAGAUGUCUGUCCAGAUGAGGGUGCAUCAAUGUUACGUUUGCUGACAAGUAUAUGCUUUACAAUGUAAAACCUAACAGUUAACUUAACUCAAACCAUUUAAGGAAAUCGGUUGCCUUAACCCAUUAAGUUUUAAAAAACAUACAUUUGAGUACUGUGAACUUAAGUCUUGUGCAAUUAUGCACUUAUAUUUAGUUAGUGUGAACUUAAAUAUAAGUGCAUAACUGCAUGUGACUCAAUUUGUUUAAGUUCACAGUACUCAAAUCCAUGUGUUUUAAAACUUAAAUGGUUUAAUGCAACCGGUUUUCUUAAAUGGUUUGAGUUUAGUUAACUUUUAGGUUUUACAGUGAGAAAUUCUUGAAUAAUUCCAAGACAGAGCUCUGCAAUUGAAUCAACACUGCAAAAAAUCAGUUUCUAACUUAGGAUUUUUAUCUUGUUUUUAGUAGAAAAACUAAAAAUUCUUAAAUCAUAAAGAAAAUGUCUAGUUUUUAGACAAAAAUAUACAAUUUAAGUAAAUUUGUGCCUGAACAAGCAAAAAUAUAUAACAGUGGGGUGAGAAAAUUGUGCUUGAAUUAAGUUUUUAAGAAAAAAGAAAACGUAAGAUUUUUUCUCACACCAUUGGCAGAUAUUUUUG